rnacentral:rRNA from 1 species
UACGUAGGGGGCAAGCGUUGUCCGGAUUUAUUGGGCGUAAAGAGCGUGCAGGCGGUUUGGUAGGUCCGUUGUGAAAACUCGAGGCUCAACCUCGAGACGCCGAUGGAAACCAUCAGACUAGAGUCCGGAAGAGGAGAGUGGAAUUCCUGGUGUAGCGGUGAAAUGCGCAGAUAUCAGGAAGAACACCCGUGGCUAAGGCGGCUCUCUAGUACGGUACUGACGCUGAGACGCGAAAGCGUGGGGAGCGAACAGG